UUCAAUAGCGGAGGAAAAGAAACCAACUGGGAUUGCCCUAGUAACGGCGAGUGAAGCGGCAACAGCUCAAAUUUGAAAUCUGGCCUCCUCUGGGGGUCCGAGUUGUAAUUUGCAGAGGGUGCUUUGGCGUUGGUGGCGGUCUAAGUUCCUUGGAACAGGACAUCGCAGAGGGUGAGAAUCCCGUUUGUGGUCGCCUGCCUUCGCCGUGUAAAGCCCCUUCGACGAGUCGAGUUGUUUGGGAAUGCAGCUCUAAAUGGGAGGUAAAUUUCUUCUAAAGCUAAAUACUGGCCAGAGACCGAUAGCGCACAAGUAGAGUGAUCGAAAGAUGAAAAGCACUUUGGAAAGAGAGUCAAACAGCACGUGAAAUUGUUGAAAGGGAAGCGCUUGCAGCCAGACUUGCCCGCAGUUGCUCACCCAGGCUUUUGCCCGGGGCACUCUUCUGCGGGCAGGCCAGCAUCAGUUUGGGCGGUCGGAUAAAGGCCUCUGUCACGUAUCUUCCUUCGGGAUGACCUUAUAGGGGAGGCGACAUGCGACCAGCCCGGACUGAGGUCCGCGCUUCUGCUAGGAUGCUGGCGUAAUGGCUGUAAGCGGCCCGUCUUGAAACACGGACCAAGGAGUCUAACAUCUAUGCGAGUGUUUGGGUGUCAAGCCCGAGCGCGUAAUGAAAGUGAACGGAGGUGGGAACCCUUGGGUGCACCAUCGACCGAUCCUGAUGUCUUCGGAUGGAUUUGAGUAAGAGCAUAGCUGUUGGGACCCGAAAGAUGGUGAACUAUGCUUGAAUAGGGUGAAGCCAGAGGAAACUCUGGUGGAGGCUCGCAGCGGUUCUGACGUGCAAAUCGAUCGUCAAAUUUGGGCAUAGGGGCGAAAGACUAAUCGAACUAUCUAGUAGCU
rnacentral:rRNA from 1 species